rnacentral:tRNA from 1 species
CGCAGCGUGGCUCAGUGGAAAGAGCCCGGGCUUGGGAGUCAGAGGUCAUGGGUUCGAAUCCCGGCUCUGCCA